GACGAACGCUGGCGGCGCGCCUAACACAUGCAAGUCGAACGGAGUCAAGAGGAGCUUGCUUUUCUUGACUUAGUGGCGAACGGGUGAGUAACGCGUGAGUAACCUGCCCUGGAGUGGGGGACAACAGUUGGAAACGACUGCUAAUACCGCAUAAGCCCACGGAUCUGCAUGGAUCUGCGGGAAAAGGAUUUAUUCGCUCUAGGAUGGGCUCGCGUCCAAUUAGCUAGUUGGUGAGGUAACGGCCCACCAAGGCGACGAUUGGUAGCCGGACUGAGAGGUUGAACGGCCACAUUGGGACUGAGACACGGCCCAGACUCCUACGGGAGGCAGCAGUGGGGGAUAUUGCACAAUGGGGGAAACCCUGAUGCAGCGACGCCGCGUGGAGGAAGAAGGUUUUCGGAUUGUAAACUCCUGUCGUUAGGGACGAUAAUGACGGUACCUAACAAGAAAGCACCAGCUAACUACGUG
rnacentral:rRNA from 1 species